AAAACAUCCAUUUGUUUUUCCAGCUGUGACAGGACAACAUUAAAGUUUUGAAUCAGAAGAUGUGAAGGCUGCCCGUGGGAAAUGUGGGACCACCUGAUCUCAUCGGUCGGCGUACGACCGCGACUUAUUGGCCUGGCAGAAAAAUGCUGCUUCGGUAGGGCAAGAGAUCUGGAAAAACUAAUGAAUUCCGCUUUCCGUUGAGGAGAACUGACUGUGGCAUCCAUCUGCAGGUCCUGAUCCAACUAAUGCACAACUGAAUGUGUAUUUCCUAAGUCGGGGUAAAUUGCACUUAAAAUGAAACAAAUGCCUUUCUGGUUUGAAGUUUUAAAUGUCAGAGUAAUUUUACUUCAGAAGCCCUUAUGCUUAAAAAAGAAAAUGAUAAUUUUAUUUUCCAAAGACCUCUAGGAACUUCUGAGUAGAUCUAAAGUACAGAUUUCUUUUGUUCAAUCAUUGUGAACAUUUUUGCUUUCAUUUGGCAGUGUGAAAGAAUGUAUCAUUUAGCCUUUUCUCCCUUUUUGCCUCCGGGAGCAAUAAUGUAAUAUACUGUACAGGUUGAGGUUAUGUCUUGCCUGUCAGAAUUUGUUCUAGAUCACUAGUUUGCCUGAUGCAAGAUGGGGUCAAACCAUAUAUAAAUGCAAAGUGUCUCAGUUGCCGGCUGCAGUAAUAAAGCUAAUAUUCAAAAAGAAAGAAAUGUGCUAAAUCAAGCUAGAUUCUUAAUAUUUUUGUAGCUCCUUGGAGCUAAUUUCUGAAUGAAUAGAAACCUUUUUUUAAAGCAUAUUGCAAAAAGAAAAAUUUUCAUUUGACACGUGGAACAAUCUUAACUGUUGGACCGUCAGUUAUUUGAAAUGAGCAGGAUGUCUUUCAUACUUGUCCUUAUUGGCUAAUGAUGGACAGAAAUACAGAAACCAAAAUUUUUAGGGGCUAGAAAGAGGGAAAAGAAGUUAAGGUAUUUCUCAAAGAGCAUAAUGCUGGAAACAUACUUGUAGUUGCUAUACUUUCUCACUGAGAGUCAGAAUUGCUGGAUAAAUAUGAAGAAAACAUAAUCUUCUUUCUGGUUUCCUGACAUACUUGCAAAGAUAAUAUGUUCUGCGCUCCACACCUGUGGAAAAAUUUGGCUUUUAGAGAAGUAUUUUUGUGUGGACAAGGUUAACAAAGCAUAUGUUGAAGAGAAUAAAUGAUUCUCUGACUUCUGACUGAGAACUAUUGUCUGGCCACUUGAAAUGAUAUCUUGAUGUUGUCUUUCAAAUAUGAUAAUAAAGGCACAAAGGUCCUUUCUGAGGAUUUUUUUUUUAGAACUGAUGAUGGACACAUCUUACAUGCAUUUGUAAAGAGACGAAAAUACAGUGUUUUUGUUACAUGUAGGUGGAGCAAUGCAACCUGUGGUGGAGCUAAUAAGCUAAUAAAUAAGCUAAUUUUCUGUGCACCAUAGCUGCAUUUAUGGACAAAUAGUCAACGGCAAAUUUUAAUUACAGUAUUUCUAUUUCUAGUGAUAUACUAUAUUGUCAUUAGUCUUGACAUUGAACUAUAAAAAAUAAGGCUGUAAAAGUCACAGUAAUUUACACAACUCUGCAAAUUGUUCCCAGUACUGCAUAAUAUUAAUUAUAAUUUAUCUAGGAGAAUAUAAAUUCAACCCAAUGCUCCACAACUUCUUUGGGGACCAGAUUCAAUAGGAGACAGGGAAUAUAUAAAAGGUUUGCCUUUUCCACAGAGGGAAUUUGUCAGGGAGAGAACUGCAGUGGCUCUGCCUGUUUUCUGUUGAGCUGGUUCUGGCUCACUAAUGAAUUGCGUGAUUACUGACUCCUGUGUGUUGUCAGAAAUGCAAAAUGAGUGAGAAUAAGAUGCUUGUUACCUGUUCUCUCUGUCUUACAGGAUAGGCAGACUAUUUUCAGGCAGAGACAGAAGGGUGUUGAUUUUAUGAGGGGUAGGUGAUCUGAGCUUUGUUUCUCUGGUCACGUCUGUAUGGUGAUGCUGGCUUGCAGCUCAGGUCAGUGUGCCCUCCUCAUCCAUGCUGCUGAUGUGCUGUCGUACAUACUAAUUAGUCUGCAGACAGCAAGUCACACUGGAGGACACUCGAUAGCUCAAUGCUUUUAGAUAGCUAAUAAAACAACUUCUGCAGGUGUUAAAACACAUUAGUGAAAAUUCCAGAUGCCUAGCAAACAUCAAAUAGAAGAGAACAGUAACAGGAAAAAACCACCCUUUUCUGAUCUCUGUGUUGCUCCUGUUUUUCUUAAAGAAUAUUUCACAA